CGCGAAAACUUUGCAACAAUCGAAAGCUUGACAGGGCUAUCCCGAGUGCCAUCCGCUGAGGAAGGCUUUUACCCAGUCUAGAACGCUGGGGGAAUAAGGAGAGGGCAAGUCUGGUGUCAGCCGCCGCGGUAAUACCAGCUCUCCGAGUGGUGUGGAUGUUUAUUGGGCCUAAAGCAUCCGUAGCUGGCUAAGUUAGUCCCCUGUUAAAUCCACCGAAUUAAUCGUUGGAUUGCGGGGGAUACUGCUUGGCUAGGGGACGAGAGAGGCAGACGGUAUUUCCGGGGUAGGGGUGAAAUCCUAUAAUCCCGGGAAGACCACCAGUGGCGAAGGCUGUCUGCUAGAACGCGCCCGACGGUGAGGGAUGAAAGCUGGGGGAGCGAACCGGAUUAGAUACCCGGGUAGUCCCAGCUGUAAACGAUGCAGACUAGGUGUUUGAACGGCCACGUGCCGUUCUAGUGCCGCAGGGAAGCUGUUAAGUCUGCCGCCUGGGGAGUACGAUCGCAAGAUUGAAACUUAAAGGAAUUGGCGGGGGAGCAC
rnacentral:rRNA from 1 species